rnacentral:rRNA from 1 species
GUUGGGUAGGGGAGCGUUCUGUAAGCCUGUGAAGGUGGCCUGUGAGGGUUGCUGGAGGUAUCAGAAGUGCGAAUGCUGACAUAAGUAACGAUAAAGCGGGUGAAAAGCCCGCUCGCCGGAAGACCAAGGGUUCCUGUCCAACGUUAAUCGGGGCAGGGUGAGUCGACCCCUAAGGCGAGGCCGAAAGGCGUAGUCGAUGGGAAACGGGUUAAUAUUCCCGUACUUGGUGUUACUGCGAAGGGGGGACGGAGAAGGCUAUGUUGGCCGGGCGACGGUUGUCCCGGUUUAAGCGUGUAGGCUGGUUUUCCAGGCAAAUCCGGAAAAUCAAGGCUGAGGCGUGACGACGAGGCACUACGGUGCUGAAGCAACAAAUGCCCUGCUUCCAGGAAAAGCCUCUAAGCAUCAGGUAACAUCAAAUCGUACCCCAAACCGACACAGGUGGUCAGGUAGAGAAUACCAAGGCGCUUGAGAGAACUCGGGUGAAGGAACUAGGCAAAAUGGUGCCGUAACUUCGGGAGAAGGCACGCUGACACGUAGGUGAAGUGAUUUACUCAUGGAGCUGAAGUCAGUCGAAGAUACCAGCUGGCUGCAACUGUUUAUUAAAAACACAGCACUGUGCAAACACGAAAGUGGACGUAUACGGUGUGACGCCUGCCCGGUGCCGGAAGGUUAAUUGAUGGGGUCAGCGCAAGCGAAGCUCCUGAUCGAAGCCCCGGUAAACGGCGGCCGUAACUAUAACGGUCCUAAGGUAGCGAAAUUCCUUGUCGGGUAAGUUCCGACCUGCACGAAUGGCGUAAUGAUGGCCAGGCUGUCUCCACCCGAGACUCAGUGAAAUUGAACUCGCUGUGAAGAUGCAGUGUACCCGCGGCAAGACGGAAAGACCCCGUGAACCUUUACUAUAGCUUGACACUGAACAUUGAGCCUUGAUGUGUAGGAUAGGUGGGAGGCUUUGAAGUGUGGACGCCAGUCUGCAUGGAGCCGACCUUGAAAUACCACCCUUUAAUGUUUGAUGUUCUAACGUGGACCCGUAAUCCGGGUUGCGGACAGUGUCUGGUGGGUAGUUUGACUGGGGCGGUCUCCUCCUAAAGAGUAACGGAGGAGCACGAAGGUUGGCUAAUCCUGGUCGGACAUCAGGAGGUUAGUGCAAUGGCAUAAGCCAGCUUGACUGCGAGCGUGACGGCGCGAGCAGGUGCGAAAGCAGGUCAUAGUGAUCCGGUGGUUCUGAAUGGAAGGGCCAUCGCUCAACGGAUAAAAGGUACUCCGGGGAUAACAGGCUGAUACCGCCCAAGAGUUCAUAUCGACGGCGGUGUUUGGCACCUCGAUGUCGGCUCAUCACAUCCUGGGGCUGAAGUAGGUCCCAAGGGUAUGGCUGUUCGCCAUUUAAAGUGGUACGCGAGCUGGGUUUAGAACGUCGUGAGACAGUUCGGUCCCUAUCUGCCGUGGGCGCUGGAGAACUGAGGGGGGCUGCUCCUAGUACGAGAGGACCGGAGUGGACGCAUCACUGGUGUUCGGGUUGUCAUGCCAAUGGCACUGCCCGGUAGCUAAAUGCGGAAGAGAUAAGUGCUGAAAGCAUCUAAGCACGAAACUUGCCCCGAGAUGAGUUCUCCCUGAGACUUAGAGUCUCCUGAAGGAACGUUGAAGACGACGACGUUGAUAGGCCGGGUGUGUAAGCGCAGCGAUGCGUUGAGCUAACCGGUACUAAUGAACCGUGAGGCUUAACCUUACAACGCCGAAG